rnacentral:rRNA from 1 species
AUUAAGGUUAUCGAUUUUAGGAUUGAUUUAACCGAUAUUGAUCACAGUUUCGUCACUUAAUCGAGUGCGAAGCGGGGUUGUUUAGCGAUCCCUCACGGGAUCGACAGGCAACCAUGUUUACCUUGAGAAAAUUAGAGUGCUCACAGCAGGCAGUUGGAGAGUAAAAUCUUCUUUAUGCUUGAAUAAUGUUGCAUGGAAUAAUAGAAUACGGCCUCGGUUCUAUUCUGUUGGUCUUAUAGAACAACAAACAAGUUGUGGUUGACUAUUGGAUGGCUAAAGGUAGUGUUGUCUUAAAGUCAAAUUUAAGUUUACCGCGCCUCAUCCAAGUUAAAAUUAACCCAACUGAGGCAAUGGUUAAAAGAAAUAGUCGCGGCGGCAUCAGUACUGCAUCGUGAGAGGUGAAAUUCUUAGACCGAUGCAAGACUAACUGAAGCGAAAGCGUUUGCCGAGGAUAUUUUCAUUAAUCAAGAACGAAAGUUAGAGGUUCGAAGGCGAUCAGAUACCGCCCUAGUUCUAACCAUAAACGUUGCCAACUAGCAAUGGGGCACGGUUUUGAGGGUGUCUUGGGCUAGCAAUAGUCUUGGCACCCAUUACGACCGGCCCCGCGGCUCUCGUAGGGAAACCAAAGUGUUUGGGUUCCGGGGGAAGUAUGAUUGCAAAGUUGAAACUUAAAGGAAUUGACGGAAGGGCACCACCAGGAGUGGAGCCUGCGGCUUAAUUUGACUCAACACGGGGAAACUUACUAGAUUAGAACUCUGGAAUGAUUGACAGAUUGAUAGCUCUUUCUUGAUUCAGAGGAUGGUGGUGCAUGGCCGUUCUUGAUUCGUAUUCCGAAACGUCUGCUUAAUUGCGAUAACGAGUGAGACCUCCCCUUUCUUGCUAGGUGGUGCGGCGUAUAGGAUCCAACACUACAGUCCUUGUGAUUGUAGUGUCCUACUGCUCCGUACUUGCCUUCCUAGAAGGAUAAACGGUGUUUUAGCCGUAAGAAACGAGGCAAUAACAGGUCUGUGAUGCCCUUAGAUACUCUAGGCCGCACGCGUGCUACAAUGGCGUGUGCAGAAAGCUUGUUCGAGGUCUGGCUUGGGGUGCUUUAGUUGGAUUGGUGUAGGUUGGGGUAACUUAGCUUGCAUCGCCCAUCUAGAGUCCUGAGAUUUCAGUCCGAGAGAAACCGAUGUCGAAAGACAGCGGCAAUCAUGAAUACACGCCGUGAUUUGGGAUUGGGGAUUGCAAUUGUUGCCCAUGAACGAGGAAUUCCCAGUAAGCGCAAUUCAUCAUAUUGCGUUGAUUACGUCCCUGCCCUUUGUACACACCGCCCGUCGCUACUACCGAUUGGAAGUUUUAGUGAGGCAUUUGGAUUGGCUAAUCAAGUUGUCGCAAGGCAAUUAGAUCUGCUGAGAAGUCUGUCGAACUCAAAUUUCUAGAGGAAGUAAAAGUCGUAACAAGGUUUCCGUAGGUGAACCUGCGGAAG